rnacentral:rRNA from 1 species
GAUGAACGCUAGCGGCAGGCCUAAUACAUGCAAGUCGAGGGGUAUCCCGCUUUCGGGCGGGAGAGACCGGCGCACGGGUGCGUAACGCGUAUGCAACCUACCCAUAUCUGGGGGAUAGCCCGGAGAAAUCCGGAUUAACACCGCAUAAAAUCACAGUACGGCAUCGUACAAUGAUCAAAUCUUGAUAGGAUAUGGAUGGGCAUGCGUGUCAUUAGCUGGUUGGCGGGGUAACGGCCCACCAAGGCGACGAUGACUAGGGGAUCUGAGAGGAUUGCCCCCAACACUGGUACUGAAACAGUGACCAGACUCCUACGGGAGGCAGAAGUAAGGAAUAUUGGUCAAUGGGCGGAAGCCUGAACCAGCCAUGCCGCGUGCAGGAAGACGGCCCUCUGGGUUGUAAACUGCUUUUAUUCGGGAAUAAACCUGCAUACGUGUAUGCAGCUGAACGUACCGAAGGAAUAAGGAUCGGCUAACUCCGUGCCAGCAGCCGCCGUAA